GUACACGCUGUGACUAGCAUAUCAAUAAGCGGAGGAAAAGAAACUAACAAGGAUUCCCCUAGUAACGGCGAGUGAAGCGGGAAGAGCUCAAAUUUGAAAUCUUAAAGGGUUUCCCUUUACGAAUUGUAGUUUAAAGAAGUGUUUUCUGUUGAGGUUUUGGUAAAAGUUCUUGGAAUAGGACAUCAUAGAGGGUGAGAAUCCCGUAUUUGACCUUUACUUUCAACUUUGUGAUACACUUUCAAAGAGUCGGAUUGUUUGGGAAUGCAGUCCAAAAUGGGUGGUAAAUUUCAUCUAAAGCUAAAUAUUGGCGAGAGACCGAUAGCGAACUAGUACCGUGAGGGAAAGAUGAAAAGAACUUUGAAAAGAGAGUUAAACAGUACGUGAAAUUGUCAAAAGGGAAGCGUUUGACACCAGUGUUGCUUUUCUGAAAAUCAAUUAAAGAACUGUUUAUGCUAAGCUGUUUAGACUUUAUCAGCUAUCUGUUUAGUUUUGAGCUUUUCUUUAAUGCACUUUUCAGUUAACAAGUCAACAUCAAUUUCUUUUGCUGUAAAAAGCUUGAGGAAGGUGGCUUGAGAUUCGUCUUAAGUGUUUAUAGCCUCUUGCCUAUGCAGUCGGAGAGAUUGAGGUCUGCAGCGUAGAUCCUUCGGGGCUAAAUGCAUUUGUGCUAAGUUAUAGCAUUUUAUAGACAACUUGUUGACUAUGAUUUGUCUUGUAGCUUACUCGCUUAUGUUAUUUUACCUACGCUUAGGAUGUUGAUAUGCAUGACUGAUAU
rnacentral:rRNA from 1 species